GGGGUUGUGGCUCAAUGGUAGAGCACUUGCCUAGCAUGUGUGAAGCACUGGGUUCGAUUCUCAGCACCA
rnacentral:tRNA from 1 species